CCUACGGGGGGCUGCAGUGGGGAAUAUUGGACAAUGGGGGGAACCCUGAUCCACCCAUGCCGCGUGUGUGAAGAAGGCCCUCGGGUUGUAAAGCACUUUCAGUGAGGAAGAACGCCUGGUGGUUAAUACCCAUCAGGAAAGACAUCACUCACAGAAGAAGCACCGGCUAACUCCGUGCCAGCAGCCGCGGUAAUACGGAGGGUGCGAGCGUUAAUCGGAAUUACUGGGCGUAAAGCGCGCGUAGGUGGCUUGAUAAGCCGGUUGUGAAAGCCCCGGGCUCAACCUGGGAACGGCAUCCGGAACUGUCAAGCUAGAGUGCAGGAGAGGAAGGUAGAAUUCCCGGUGUAGCGGUGAAAUGCGUAGAGAUCGGGAGGAAUACCAGUGGCGAAGGCGGCCUUCUGGACUGACACUGACACUGAGGUGCGAAAGCGUGGGUAGCAAACAGGAUUAGAUACCCCAGUAGUC
rnacentral:rRNA from 1 species